rnacentral:rRNA from 1 species
GACGAACGCUGGCGGCGUGCCUAAUACAUGCAAGUCGAGCGAGGUUUUUCUGGUGCUUGCACCGGAAAAACUUAGCGGCGAACGGGUGAGUAACACGUAAAGAACCUGCCUCAUAGACUGGGACAACUAUUGGAAACGAUAGCUAAUACCGGAUAAUAGCAUUAACUGCAUGGUUGAUGUUUAAAAGUUGGUUUUGCUAACACUAUGAGAUGGCUUUGCGGUGCAUUAGCUAGUUGGUGGGGUAAAGGCCUACCAAGGCGACGAUGCAUAGCCGACCUGAGAGGGUGAUCGGCCACACUGGGACUGAGACACGGCCCAGACUCCUACGGGAGGCAGCAGUAGGGAAUCUUCCGCAAUGGGCGAAAGCCUGACGGAGCAACGCCGCGUGAGUGAAGAAGGAUUUCGGUUCGUAAAGCUCUGUUGUUAGGGAAGAAUGAUUGUGUAGUAACUAUACACAGUAGAGACGGUACCUAACCAGAAAGCCACGGCUAACUACGUGC